rnacentral:rRNA from 1 species
AUGGAGCGCCUUGCCACGGUGGACGUCGAUGACGGGGUUGUCGUUGACGGAGUUGACCUCGCGCUCGAUGGACUUGGUGGCAGACCGGAUGACCUCGAUCUGGGGGCCGAGCCACUGGGGCGACGUGCGGAGCGCGUACCUGUCUUGCUUGGGCUUGAGCUGCGUGUCAAUCUCGUUGACCUUCUUGGCGUGGCCCAUGAAGGCGCUGCCGGCCAGGAUGUGCUCCAUGAUGGCCGCGGCCUCGAUGGAGCCGGGGUGGUGCUUGAGCUUGUGGGUGAGGUGGUCGGUGAACUCGGGCUUGCCGUUCAUCACCUCGCAGAAGACGGCGGACAGGACCUCGGAGAGAACAGCAAGGACGUUGCAGUCGAACAGCACCGUGGCCGCAAGCGCAGAGCCCACGGACGUGCCGUUGACAAUGGCGAGACCCUCCUUGGGGUUGAGCUUGAAGAAGCCGCCCUCGAUGCCAGCGGCCUUGAAUGCCUCGGCGGCGUCCACAUUCUUCCCGUCAACAGUGGUGGCCUGCGCGUUGGGGCGUCCGGUGAUGAGACCGGCGAUGUAGGACAGCGGCACAAGGUCGCCGGAGGCGGUGAUGGUGCCCCGGAGCGGUAG